GCAUGGGUUUGGAUUUAUGGCAGGCCCAUCCCCCUGGGCCUCUCAUAGUGUCCCAUGCCAGAAAAAACUGGCCCCGAACCAUUGCCCAGCCUCUGCCCGUAGGCUGCAGGCACUGAAGUGGGUUGCACAGUG
ensembl:snoRNA